AGUCGGUGACUAAGCGAAAGCGAUAAGUUAUCCACCUGGGGAGUACGUUCGCAAGAAUGAAACUCAAAGGAAUUGACGGGGGCCCGCACAAGCGGAGGAACAUGUGGUUUAAUUCGAUGAUACGCGAGGAACCUUACCCGGGCUUGAAAGUUAGCGACGAUUCUUGAAAGAGGAUUUCCCUUCGGGGCGCGAAACUAGGUGCUGCAUGGUUGUCGUCAGCUCGUGCCGUGAGGUGUCGGGUUAAGUCCCAUAACGAGCGCAACCCCUACCGUUAGUUGCCAUCAGGUGAAGCUGGGCACUCUGGCGGGACUGCCGGUGUAAGCCGAGAGGAAGGUGGGGAUGACGUCAAAUCAGCACGGCCCUUACGUCCGGGGCUACACACGUGUUACAAUGGUAGGUACAGAGGGCAGCUACCCAGCGAUGGGAUGCGAAUCUCGAAAGCCUAUCUCAGUUCGGAUUGGAGGCUGAAACCCGCCUCCAUGAAGUUGGAUUCGCUAGUAAUCGCGCAUCAGCCAUGGCGCGGUGAAUACGUUCCCGGGCCUUGUACACACCGCCCGUCAAGCCAUGGAAGCCGGGGGUGCCUGAAGUCCGUAACCGCGAGGAUCGGCCUAGGGCAAAACUGGUAACUGGGGCUAAGUCGUAACAAGGUAGCCGUACCGGAAGGUGCGGCUG
rnacentral:rRNA from 1 species